rnacentral:rRNA from 1 species
UACGUAGGUGGCGAGCGUUGUCCGGAAUUACUGGGCGUAAAGGGCGUGCAGGCGGUUUUUUAAGUCAGAUGUGAAACCCUGAGGCUUAACUUCGGGAUUGCAUUUGAAACUGAAGGGCUUGAGUGCAGGAGAGGUAAGUGGAAUUCCUAGUGUAGCGGUGAAAUGCGUAGAUAUUAGGAGGAACACCGGUGGCGAAGGCGACUUACUGGACUGUAACUGACGCUGAGGCGCGAAAGCGUGGGGAGCAAACAGG